GCGGCGUUCUCGAAUCCCGUGUCUCGCUCGCUGGCUCCUCGCUCGUUGGUGCCGAAGGAAACGGGAAAAGCAGCAAGAAGGCAAGAGGAGCGGCGGCGGCAAGAACAGGAGCGGCGAGGAGAAGACGGCGGCGAAGGAGGAGGAGAGCAGCAGCAACAGCAGGAGGAGGAGCGGCGGCGGCGGCGCCAUGGCGGCCCUGGAGCGGCCCGUGCCCAGUCCCGAGGCGUUCCUGGGCCAGCCCUGGGCCGCCUGGGUCCGGGAGGCCGCCCUUCCGCACACGCACUGCGCCGCCCCCCUGCACAGUGUAGAGCUAGAAGAGACUGGAAAAGAGGGUGGAAAAAGCAGGGAGGUGAUGAGGCUUAAUAAAGAAGGUAAGGGGCAGGGGGCUGAAAACACCUACUUGGGCAUCUCUGUCUUUCUUUCCUUGGCUCUGCUUUUAAGCUUUCUUUUGGCAAGAACAGCUGGAGUGUGGCAGCCAUGUGGAUUGUUAGAUUGGAUAGAGCCAUGCAUAAGGAUCGCAGGGCCUAAGCAUCCACAGGUAACUGCUGCUGUGUUGAUUUGGCUCCCUCUAGACUUGGAUGGCUCUCUUAACCUGUGAGGAUCAAUUGUAAUCUUAAAAUAAAAAGUGCCAUGUCCAUGACUGGUGGGCUUUUUCCCCUUGCUAUCCCAUUACUCAUUUGCUGCAGUGCUGUUUAAAACAUGGAAGUGAGUGCACACUUACAUCUGUUCACCAGUUUCUGAGACUGUUAUGUUAAAAAGCAAAACAACUCUCUGCAUCUUGAAAUGCAGCAGUUGUACCAACAAUCAUAAUUACCUAGUUUUCAGCUUGCUUUUGCUGAAAAUAGAUAUGUUGUAAUAUCUCGAUGUUGGCUCAAACUGCAUCUUUUAGCUUUGUUUUUUUUACAGCAAAGGAGCUGUUGUUGUGAGAAGGUGCAUAGAGAGGAGCUAUGGAUUAAACCUUGUGCAACAACUCAAGAUAAACCUGAACAUCUUGGAUACUUACAUAAGACUAUAUAUCAAUUGUAAUUCAAAGAAUUAUUAGUAUGCCACCAUGUUUGUGAGUGUGUGCACAGAUUGCAAGUGACUGGUGUUGGCAAACAAGCCCAUACAUUUGAUAAAGGAUGUAACUUAUGCCUGUAGGCAGUUCACUUUGACAGAUUUGUUUUUUGAUAUGAUUUGUAGACAAUCGCCUGACAUUUAUCAUAUUUUGUGUAUGUUGAAGAAGUUGUGUGGAUUUAUGUUGACAUAAGCAGGCAUUUGACAUAUUCUUAGAACUACUGAAACUGAAUGUGUGUGUUAUAGCAACAAACAUACCAUGUGACUGACAACUGUUGGGACAAGCUAAUGGCUUGAUCCUGUUAAUCAAUGUACUGAGGCAAUAGCUACCCUAGAUUAGAUAUGCUAUCCCAGGGCUAUGGGGGCUUGGGGUCAUUCUGUUAUGUGGUACUGUCACCCACCAUUGGUUUCUCCUUCACAGAACCUUUGUAAAAGGGCCUUUUCAUGGAGGCUGAUGGCUACAAAUGGGAAUGGAGAUAGUGGCAGUUCUUGAAGUGGCAAUGAUCAGCCCAGCUGUAGGCAUUAUAAUUCAGAAGUAAGCCCCAUUACAGACUAGAGCUAUAAAUCUGUGUGCAUUUAUCUGGAAGUAAACCCCAUAAAAAGGAAUGAGGCUUAUUUCUGAGUAUAUAUUUGGUAUAGUAUUGCACUGUAUAUAGGGAUGCUCAAGGAAUUUGAUUGCUCCAUCUUUUGGAGUAAACUACACCUCUUAGGCAAAUGUGUGGAUCAGAAAAAAGUUGUACAUCAGAUUUCUCACUUACCUGACCUUUUGCAGUCUUGUCUUCAGAUACUUAAACAGAGUUCCAAAGUAGUCCAAGGCUGUCUUGAAGUUUGAAGGUCUUAAUAUUUUUUUACAAGUAUUAGCUGCUCCAAGCAUCUAGAAUGCCUGACUGCCUUUAUGAAGCCACUGCAUGUUCAAAGUGAACUUGCAAGUGCACUGAAAGUGGUGGAAUGUGAAGAUGUGCUCUCUCUCCCAGGGAGAGUGUAUGGAUGUUUUUUUUUUCUGUACAGUUAUCUCUUUGUGGGAUGGCACACCAUAAUGUACCCUUUUAAAUGUAGUUGUGACUGUCCACCAGGCUUUUUGGCUGCUUGAAGCGGCUAUUACCCGUGUAUGACUUGAAUUCUUUAAAGUUAGCCCUUGGACUUUAAUGUAUUUACUUGCAAAUUAUGGUGUGGAUCUUAAAAAUUACAAACUGACAUAGAAAUUGGACAAAUGCACAUUGGACAAAAUAAAUUUCAAUGUGACUUGCACUGGGAAUAUACAGCACUGCCCGUUCCUGACUGUGUGUGCAUGUGGCAUGCAAAUGAAUGUAUGUGGCAUUUAUUUGCAUGUGCCAUUCUUGGAGGCAGGAACAGCGGUGUAUUUUUGCUUACAAGACAUGACAUGACAUGACAGCCCAUCAAUGGUUAUUUAACCCCUGAUGAGCCACAGUGUGUGCCAACUGCCAUUUUAAAUAUGCAGCUCCCAGUUAGCCUGCUGGGGCAUGCUGGGAGUUGUAGGACUUUUUUUUGUCUAAAUGUGCAAAGGUUGUGCCUUUAGAAUAGUCACUUGGCAUGUUAGUUGCAGGGGAGACCCAGGAUGUUUUGCUUCCUUAAGUGGCCAGACAACGUGGUCCUUGUAAGCUGAGAGGCAUGCUUCAGAGAUGUCCUUGGAAAUGGCAAUGGGUCUCAGAUCAGUUUCUGCUGUAGUGACUCCCCUAAAAAUUUUGCUGAUUCUGUAGUAAGGCUAGCCCUGCAGGGUUACCUGUUUGGAUGGAGGAAAUCUGCUUUCAAAAUAUAGUCUAAUUAUUAAACCCUAGUUAUAAUAUGCUAUGAAACAAACAUGCAAAAUCUACUUUUAAUUUUCAUACACAAAUAGUUUUGUAUGAAACACUUUUGAAGGGGGAGGUUAUACAGGAAGAUGUAAUUCCUUGCCCCCCACCAAUGAUUAUUAUAACUUCUGGUUAGUUGUCUUCAUGUCCGGUGGCAGAUGGUUGCUUUUAAAAAAAAUGAUAGCAGUCAGUACUGUGAAGAGGCUAGCCAAGGAAUUUGAGAAGCUACAAGGGAAAGAAGCAUUUGUGGCAAAAAGGAGAAGAAAACCACACUCAAAUCCAUCAAUAAACUUGGUCAACAUAUCUUAACUCUUACAGGUUGUAUCCAGCGGGUUGUGCUUCAUGUUAGUCUAACAUAAAUCCCUUUCACUAAAUGAGUCUGCUCUUAAGUAGCAGUGAUAUUGGAGCAACCCAUUUUUCUGUGAAAGAUGGAAGUGUAGCAUCAUCUUUUCCACUACCAUUUUACCAUAGUUGUUGAUGUAAUCCAUCCUAAUGGAGCAUGUCUGGAGAUUGAGCUCUUGAAUGUUUUGCAUGGACAUACAGUUAGAAUGUGAAUAUUAGCUGUUCUCCUUUGACUGGGGAAGAUUAAUAAACUUGAUUAAUAAACUGUUUAGUAAGUGAAUCUUUCAAAUGGAGGGCUACAGUUUCUGCAGUUCUACUACUGCAGUUAGUGUGCUAGUAAUAUAAGGGUAGCAUAAUAAUCUGUAGACCAGAAGUGCACAACUUGUAGGCCAAAACUUCUGGAAAUCCACAGCUCCUAUCAGUUGCAGCCACCUUAGCUGGUGAUGAGGGAUGGGAGUUGUACAUCUAAAAUUUGGAGGACCACAGAGUCUUCACCUGGUCUAGUCUGUUGCAAAUACUAGAAGCAUGGUUGAACAACUUUGCUUGGCUUACCUGUUUCUAAUAUCAGAUGUGGUCAGAGAAUAGUAGAUUUUGUCCUUUUGGAAUUUUGACCUAACAACAAUACUAGGCAAUAAAGCACUAUUUGAGAGUUUA